rnacentral:misc_RNA from 1 species
CGCACAUUGCGCCCGCCAGUAUUCUGGCGGGCAUGCCUGUCCGAGCGUCAUUUCAACCCUCGGGACCCCGUUUGCUCGGGGCCCCGGUGUUGGGGCUCAGGUGCCCGGUCAACGGGCUGCCUGUCCCCUAAAUGCAGUGGCGGCCUCGCCGCUGCCUCCUCCGCGUAGUAGCACAAACCUCGCGGUUGGAAGGCGGCGCGGCCACGCCGUAAAACCCCCCAAUUUUACCAAGGUUGACCUCGGAUCAGGUAGGAAUACCCGCUGAACUUAA